rnacentral:rRNA from 1 species
CCUACGGGUGGCAGCAGUCGAGAAUCAUUCACAAUGGGGGAAACCCUGAUGGGGCGACGCCGCGUGGGGGAAUGAAGGUCUGCGGAUUGUAAACCCCUGUCAUGUGGGAGCAAAUUAAAAAGAUAGUACCACAAGAGGAAGAGACGACUAACUCUGUGCCAGCAGCCGCGGUAAGACAGAGGGCUCAAGCGUGGUUCGGAAUCACUGGGCGGAAAGUGUGCGUAGGCUGUUUCGUAAGUCGUGUGUGAAAGGCGCGGGCUCAACCCGCGGACGGCACAUGAUACUGCGAGACUAGAGUAGUGGAGGGGGAACCGGAAUUCUCGGUGUAGCAGUGAAAUGCGUAGAUAUCGGGAGGAACACUCGUGGCGAAGGCGGGUUCCUGGACAUUAACUGACGCUGAGGCACGAAGGCCCGGGGAGCGAAAAGGAUUAGAUACCCCUGUAGUC